rnacentral:rRNA from 1 species
CCUACGGGAGGCAGCAGUAAGGAAUAUUGGUCAAUGGGCGGAAGCCUGAACCAGCCAUGCCGCGUGCAGGAAGACGGCCCUACGGGUUGUAAACUGCUUUUAUACCGGAAUAAACCCCUUUACGUGUAGAGGGCUGAAUGUACGGUAGGAAUAAGGAUCGGCUAACUCCGUGCCAGCAGCCGCGGUAAUACGGAGGAUCCAAGCGUUAUCCGGAUUUAUUGGGUUUAAAGGGUGCGUAGGUGGCUUUUUAAGUCAGGGGUGAAAGACGGUAGCUUAACUAUCGCAGUGCCUUUGAUACUGAAGAGCUUGAAUGAACUAGAGGUAGGCGGAAUGUGACAAGUAGCGGUGAAAUGCAUAGAUAUGUCACAGAACACCAAUUGCGAAGGCAGCUUACUAUGGUUUUAUUGACACUGAGGCACGAAAGCGUGGGGAUCAAACAGGAUUAGAUACCCUGGUAGUCCACGCCCUAAACGAUGAAUACUCGAUGUUGGCGAUAUACGGUCAGCGUCUAAGCGAAAGCGUUAAGUAUUCCACCUGGGGAGUACGCCCGCAAGGGUGAAACUCAAAGGAAUUGACGG